ensembl:lncRNA
AUGGACAUCUACUUGUGUAUUUAUGUGAUUUUUCAUAGCCAUGUGAGGCACAGUGAAACAGAUGCUCAUGGCAACUUCUGCUCCAGAAGCUUCCCAGAUAUGACUGACCUCAGACACAGGAAUUCAGAAAUCUCACUGCCUGCCCCUUUGCCAUUAAGAAAACAGAUACUGGAUCCCCAAACCCAUGAUGAAGAAAGAGGCUGGAAGAACUCUCAGAAGAGUUUUCAAGACUAUGAGUGCCCUUGCCAAAACCCGGUGGAAAAAUCCCUAGAGAAACAGAGGCCAUAGAAGUUUAAAGGAUCCUACAUUUUGAAAAGUUCAAUGAAUGGAGAAUUCCACUUGUGGCAUGCUAGACUAACAGUGCAAAAGUUGCCUCACCCCUGCAAGCAAUUGGAAAAUAGGGCAAAAAUGAAACUACUGUUUUCAAACAACAGGCUCCCAGGACUGCCAUAAUCAAGAAAGAAGAGAAAGUAAUGAAGUCAGUUCUGUGAUGGUCCUGGCUUUCUAUGUGAAGGAACUUUUCAUAUUGUAGUCAAAUUGGGGGAACUCAAACUUAGCACAGUAGUCUCUGAGUUGAAGAAAUAGAGAUCAUAGGAAAGGGAGGCUGAUGGAGCUAGUAUUUAAAAGAAAGAGUACUGGAAAUAAAAAGACUACGUAGAAAAAGAGCUACAGUAACUGGUAUGGUUUGGCUCUGUAUCCCUACCUAAAUCUCAUGUUGAACUGUAAUUCCCAAUUACAGUUGGGAAUUGAUGGGAACCUGGUGGGAGGUGAUUGGAUCAUGGGGGCAGAUUUCCCCCUUGCUGUUCUCGUGAUAGUGAGUGAGUUCUCACAAGUUGUGUUUGUUUAAAAGUGCGUAGCAAUUCCCCCUUAGCUCUAUCUCUCCUGUCACCAUGUGAAGACAUGAUUGCUUCCCAUUCAGCCUUCUGCCAUGAUUGUAAGUUUCCUGAGGCCUCCCCAGCCAUGCUUCCUGUACAGCCUGCAGAACUGUGAGUCAAUUAAACCUCUUUUCUGUAUAAAUUACUCAGUCUCAGGUAGUUCUUUAUAGCAGUGUGAGAAUGGACUAAUACAGUUAUCUUCCUAAAGAUUCCUUUGAAUAUUUUGCUAAAGGGUAAACAUUAGAGAUACAUGAGGUAAGGCAAAAAAGUACCUGGGAGUUGUAAAUGGAACAUUUCUCAGAGUUCUUACAGGGCUGGGAUAUGUUUAAAUUUUUACCAGCCAGAAUUGAGAGAACUCACUGAACAGCAUAUACUAAGUAAAGACCCAAAAAGCCAUGUCUUCUGAAUAGGGCUAAAUAAGCCCUCAUGUAAAGACUAUUCUGGACCCUCCCUAACAAUGCUUAGAAACAAACCUCAACAGGAUCACUUUGAUGUUAAAGUGUAUUAACACUACCCCAAACAAAAUUCAACAUUCUUUAAGGGAAUAUAACUGAAUCUAGACACUCAGCAAUGUAAUUCACAAUGAUAAACAUCCAAUUAAUAAUUAUAGUGAAUAAUUACUAGACACAAACGAAGCAAAAAGGUGACUCAUAAUCAAGAGAAAAAUUAGUCAAUAGAAACAGAAGGUAGGAAUGUCAGAUAUGAUACAAUUAUUAAAUAAGAAGUUUAAAAUGGUUAUUGGAAAAAUACCCAAUGAUUUAGAGAAAACUCAAAAUAAUGAGGGAAAAUGGGAAAUAGAAAGUAGAAAUAAGUGGAUCCUGUAAGGCUGAAAAUGGAACAUCAGAAAGUAAAAAUUAAUGGAUGAACUACAUAGCACAUUAGACACUACAGAAAAAAAAAUUACUGGUGAGUUUAAGGUAUAGAAAUAAAAAACAUGCAAUUAAAAAAUCUAAAAAAAUAGCUUCAGUGAUCAAUGUGACAGCAUUAAAUCAUCUAAAAGUUGUGUUGUUGCAGUAUUUCCAGCAGGAGAGAGCAAAAAUACAUAUGAAGAAAUAUCAAAAAUUUUCAAAUUCAAUGAAAAUUAUAAACCACAGAUCAAAGCAGCUCAAUGGAGCCCAAGCAGGAUAAACACAAAGAAAACAGACCAAAGUAUAUAAUAAUGAAACCCGCUGAAAACCAGCAAUAAAGAGAAAGAUUCAAAAGCAGCCAGAGACAAACAGCACAGGACACGGGGUGAAAGACAAUGUCUUCAUAAGAAUCCUUGAAUGAAACAGUGUGACAUUUGAGAAGAAACACUGUGAGCCAGAAGACAGUGGAACAAUCUUCAAAGUGGUAGGGAACAAAUUAGCCUAGAACUCUAUAGCCAGCAAAACUGUCUUUCAAAGUGAAAAAAAGACAUAUUUAAACAAACAAAAAUUAUGAGAAUUUGUCACUAGGAGACCUGUGCUACAGGAAAAUAAAUUAUUCAGAUGGAAGAAAUGACAUCAGAUGAAAACUUGGAUUUACACAAAAGAAUAAAGAGUGAAGAGUUGCUAAAAAUGGUU